GAAACUCUUAAAUUUUCAAAACUUUGAAUCUCCCAAAACUUUCAAAAUUCCAAUACCCCAAAGUCCCAAAACUGCAAACCUUGUCACAAAAGUUCCCAUGCCUCAAUAUAUCAACCUUCCCCCCACCCCUCACGUUUUCAAAAAGAGUCCCAUGCAUUAACCUCGCAUAUAAAAGCGUGCAUUAACCAAGCCUAUACUACCCCAACCGUCCCUCUACCUAACCUAAUCUAACCUAACCUAACCGUUGAAUCAACCUACCCUUAAACCUUUCGCUUCGGCUGUCUAGUCCGAAGUACUGUAACUGAACAGAAGCGCGUACCCACAAGUGAUAUUAUGCACGCCGCUUAUAAGUGGCGCUCGUACCCACAGGUCAUAUUGUGCGCGCCGCUUGUAAGCGGCGCUCGAAGCGAAAGGGUUAAAUCUUCAUCUUCAAAUUCCACUCAUCUUUAUUUACCUCUCCAGAACGUGAUAACGAUCGACUCACCAUCGAAAUGCUGCACCCUGGAGAGUCCCUCUGGCUUGACCGGUGGCGGGAAGGUGUACCAGUUCGACGCAACGUUCGGUCCGGACGCAAGCACGGAAACAGUCUACGAGAACGUCGGUUCUGUGAUCGUGGAAGCAGUGCUGGACGGCUACAACGGGACAGUGUUCGCCUACGGGCAAACGGGCUGCGGGAAAUCGCAUACGAUGCGCGGGUUCAUCGAGCGAACCUUAGACCACAUCUUCGAGGCUACGUCGACAGCCAGCUCGGAGAUGAGGUACCUGGCGCUGCUGAGCUACCUGGAGAUCUACAACGAGCGUCUGAGAGACCUCCUUCAAGACGGCAUCAGCGACCUCCUGACGCUGAAGGAGGAUCCCAACCGGGGUACUUACGUGGCGGGCGGUUUGAAAGAGGUCACCGUUAAGGACGCCGCGGAGUGCGCACGUCUGGUGGAGCAGGGCGAUAAAAGGAGAGCCGCGGCGGCUACCAAGAUGAACGCUGCGAGCUCCAGGAGCCACGCGGUGCUGACACUGUCCCUGGAGACAUUGGCCAUCAACGAUGAUAGUAAAACGGAAAAUACUGUGAAGAGGGGAAGACUGCACCUGGUGGACCUGGCUGGGUCCGAGAGACAGGCGAGGACGGGGGCCACAGGUGACCGAUUGAAGGAGGCAGCUAGUAUUAAUUUGAGUCUAUCGGCUCUGGGGAAUGUCAUCAGCGCGCUGGCGGCAGGGCAGGGCAGACAUGUGCCGUACAGAGACAGCAAGCUGACAAGGCUCCUGCGAGACAGUUUGGGCGGCAACGCGAGAACGUUAAUGAUUGCUUGCGUGAGCCCCAGCGACAUCGACGCCGAAGAGACGCUAAGCACCCUGCGUUACGCUGCCAGAGCUCGCUGCAUCAAGAACAAACCUGUGAUCAAUGAGGACCCUAAGGACGCUCUCCUAAGACAAUACCAAUUAGAGUUACAACGUUUGAAGAAGCUACUGGAGUCCGGGGACCAAACGAUCCUGAAGGAGAUCACCGGCAAGGACGACAACGACGAGGAUGAAACAGCUAGACAAAAGCAAUACGCAGAAGAGGUCGAGAGAUUGAAGAAAGAGUGCGAACACUCGAAUUUAUCCGCUCAGAAGUUGCGAGAGGAGUUGGAGGCUCUGAAGAUUCACUAUGAAUCUGGAUUAAACAGGGUUGCGAGUCCCAAGCCCGUUGUUCAGCCCUUGAUGGACGAACAGGAUCGGGAGAGGGAGGAGAGACGCAGGAAGAAGAGGGAGGCGGCCAUGCAAGAGGUGCUCAAGAGGCUGGAGAAACUGACUAUUGGCGGAGAGGAACAAGGGAAUACGGAACUGAGAAGGAGAAGGGAGAAGAGGCGGAAGAAGCUGGAAGCUCUGGCUUCGGCUUUGGAGUCCAGCGCCCAGGAGGGCAACGGAAGCGUCUUCCAAGUGUACGGGCAACUCAGGUCAACGGAAGACGCGUUGAAGCGGAUGGCGAAGCGUGUCAAGCAACUAGAAGCGGAAGCUGCCGACCUCCAAGCUUCCUGGGACGCGGAACGACGGGACCUUCUGCGCAGGGAAUUGCUCACGACGCAAAUAUGCGACUCGAUGGUUCCACAUCUUCGCCCAGGAUGUCCACUGCGCGAUGUGGCCGCCGUUAGGGCAGCUGCCACAUGGUGCGACGAGUUGGGCCGUUGGAGGUUACCGGAUGUGUCGCCGCACAUACCGCUUCCGCCGCCAUCGCUGAUGCCCAAAGACAAUACACAGUACUCAAUAAUGCCUUCCAAACCUGAUCUCAACAACAAUAGCAAGGAUAACGAGGACGAGAUUGGAAACGAGGCUGAUAACGAGGAGAGCAGCGAACAGGAAGAUGCCAAAAAAGUGGACAUCGUUGAUACGUAUUUCAAGAGGAACAGAAUCGAUAAACUGCUUGCUCAUGUUAAGCUAGCGAAAAGUUUUGGACCAAGUAACCGCAUCAGCAAAUCGGGUGGUUCGGAAGAUUGUAUACCAAUGGGGGGCGGCCAUCUUCAAUUGAACGCUUUAAAUCUGCAAACUAGUGCACCGGUGAUCGGUGACAUAGACAGUUACAAACCCACCCAAAAUAUACCAACUGGUAGAAUUAGUCGUCCUGGUUGGAUGUCGGAUGACAACUCGCUGAACAAAGGUUCCUUCGUAAAGAAACAUCCUCCUCGUAUUUUGGAAGCGUUGCCUUCGUACCCGCAAAGUGCCUUCAAAUUUAAUAACAAAUCCAUCUCGGAUAAAAUGUCAUCAAGUUUUAUCCACAAUGGCGUGACGGAUAAUCCAAUGGUUGGACACACUGAUUCCACUAUGUAUUGAAAUUGACAUCAAGGAUGAUGAUGAUUGGGAACAGCGGAUUAGACGAAUUUUUGGAAGGUGUUUGUGAGGAAUACAGAAAGAUGGUUGACAAGAAUUUUCAACAAGGAUUAUCAGAUGAUGUAUUUAUCGUCGUGUCAUCGUCGUUGACCAACGU
rnacentral:misc_RNA from 1 species